rnacentral:ncRNA from 1 species
UCGCGGCACGGUGAAACGGGAAGUCGGUGCGCGCAGUUGCUUGCGCAAUCCCGACGCUGCCCCCGCAACGGUAAGUGAGAACAACUGACGCAACACCACUGUGGUCGAACUUCACGGGAAGGUGUCAGUUCCGGGCCGAUAACUGGCCCACUCACGAGCCCGGAGACCGGCCCCGAGUAAU